AGGUGCGCGGCGCAGCCUCCCCCCCGGGAGACAUACUUCUUUAUAUGCCCAUAUGGAGCUCGGAGCUAUGGAAUGUAAAGAAGUAUGUAUCUCAGGCCGGGAACCCUCUCGCCGAGCGAA
rnacentral:precursor_RNA from 15 species